UGGUAUGUUACCUCUGAUCAG
rnacentral:miRNA from 1 species